GGGAAAGUGGCUCAGUGGUAGAGUGCUUGCCUUGCAUGCAUGAGGCCCUAGGUUCAAUUCCUCAGCACCA
rfam:Dipodomys ordii contig_44304, whole genome shotgun sequence.